UUAUCGACAGAUAGGUUUACGACCUCGAUGUUGGAUCAGGGCAUCCUAGUGGUGCAGCCGCUACUAAAGGUUCGUUUGUUCAACGAUUAAAGCCCUACGUGAUCUGAGUUCAGACCGGAGCAAUCCAGGUCAGUUUCUAUCUAUAAAGGGCUUUUUCUAGUACGAAAGGACCGAAAAUGCAUGGCCAAUGCUUCAUGCAAGCCAUAUGCUAAAACUUAUGACCCAGUCUUAAUAAGCAAAUAACCUCCUACCAUGCCCAAGAAAAGGGGAGUUAAC
rnacentral:rRNA from 1 species